UAGGUGGCAAGCGUUGUCCGGAUUUACUGGGUGUAAAGGGCGUGUAGGCGGAACUGCAAGUCAGAUGUGAAAUUCCGGGGCUCAACCCCGGAACUGCAUUUGAAACUGUAGUCCUUGAGUAUCGGAGAGGCAGGCGGAAUUCCUAGUGUAGCGGUGAAAUGCGUAGAUAUUAGGAGGAACACCAGUGGCGAAGGCGGCCUGCUGGACGACAACUGACGCUGAGGCGCGAAAGCGUGGGGAGCAAA
rnacentral:rRNA from 1 species